UACGUAGGGUGCAAGCGUUGUCCGGAAUUACUGGGCGUAAAGGGCUCGUAGGCGGCCAACUAAGUCGGACGUGAAAUCCCUCAGCUUAACUGGGGAACUGCGUCCGAUACUGGAUGGCUUGGAUUUGGGAGAGGGAUGCGGAAUUCCGGGUGUAGCGGUGGAAUGCGUAGAGAUCCGGAAGAACACCGGUGGCGAAGGCGGUCUGCUGGGCAGUUGCUGACACUGAGGCGCGACAGCGUGGGGAGCAAACAGG
rnacentral:rRNA from 1 species